AGCAGCCGCGGUAAUUCCAGCUCCAAUAGCGUAUAUUAAAGUUGUUGCAGUUAAAAAGCUCGUAGUUGAAUUUCGGGAUUGGCGCAUCGGUCGUGCCUCACGGGGUAUGAACUGGUGCAGUCAAUUUCUCACCUUCUGGAGAACCGCGAUGUCCUUAAUUGGAUGCCGCGGGGAACCAGGACCUUUACUUUGAAAAAUUAGAGUGUUUAAAGCAGGCAUUUUUGCUUGAAUACAUUAGCAUGGAAUAAUAAAAUAGGACGGCAUGGUUCUAUUUUGUUGGUUUCUAGGACCACCGUAAUGAUUAAUAGGGAUAGUUGGGGGCAUUAGUAUUCAAUUGUCAGAGGUGAAAUUCUUGGAUUUAUUGAAGACUAACUACUGCGAAAGCAUUUGCCAAGGAUGUUUUCAUUAAUCAAGAACGAAAGUUAGGGGAUCGAAGACGAUCAGAUACCGUCGUAGUCUUAACCAUAAACUAUGCCGACUAGGAAUCA
rnacentral:rRNA from 1 species